GGAUUUGGAGUCACACUCAAAAUUAAAGUGGAAAAAACACACUACAGGCUGAUUCAACUUUAAUGUAAUGUCCUCAAAACAAGUCAAAAUGAGGGUCAGUAGUGUGUGUGGCCUCCAUGUGCAUGUAUGAUCUCCCUACAACGCCUGUGCAUGCUCCUGAUGAGGUGGCGGAUGGUCUCCUGAGGGAUCUCCUCCCAGACCUGAACUAAAGCAUCUGCCAACUCCUGGACAGUCUGUGGUGCAACGUGACGUUGGUGGAUGGAGCGAGACCUGAUGUCCCAGAUAUGCUCAAUUGGAUUCAGGUCUGGGGAACAGGCGGGCCACUCCAUAGCAUCAAUGCCUUCGUCUUGCAGGAACUGCUGGCACACUCCAGCCACAUGUGGUCUAGUAUUGUCUUGCAUUAGGA